GAAUAUCAUGUACUAACCCAAUCCCUUCCAUCCUGGCCUCUUAAAACAUUACAACACAAUCCCAUACACUUGAUAGGACAAUGUGCAGUGCCUCACACCUUACUAGAACCUGGAAAAUAUAACACUUGUCUUACUCUUGUCCCAUCUUAUUGCUGCCAUUUGUUCUUUUUCUAUAAACAGUCCCCACUUUACACUAACAAGUAUGCAUGGAAAUGAGGAGAUUUGCUAAUAAUUUGUAUAAGCUAAGUGUUUGGGGUCCUUUAAGUGUUUAUAUUUUUAAAACCCAUAUUUAGAAAGAAAAUUGGCAAGUCCAGAAGAAGGGUGGGAAGGAGUUUCUGGCUGCUUGAGCAGCAUGCAUUGGCUACUUGAAUGUCCAGAGCGAUUCAUCUUUUGGCAAACCUCCACACCUCACUCAGCAAAACAGCAGCUCUGCAGAACACAGCCCCACCUUCCCCAGAAGUUCAUACAGUGACCAUUUGUGGUCACUGUAGUAUGUCCCUGGCAAGGUCUUAUUCCCCCUCUUCCAAAUAGGUUAUAAAAGGCUAUAAGCCCAUAUAGUCCUUUUCCUGAGAGCUACUCUGGUAAAUCUGAAUGUUCUAUCUGGUGCAUUAUUUAGCCAGUGAUGUUUAGUGUUCCUUAUUGUAACAAGGACAUUUCCCAGCUGAUCUGCUACUUAAAGGGGCUUUGCCUGCAGAUUCUGUCUUAAUGUAACAUUUAGAAUUUGAAGUUUUCAAAUAUACUUUGCACUUUCUCAUUUGACUCACAGAUAUAGGAGGAUUAUUAUUUCCAAUUUAUGCAUGUAUAGAAUGAAGCUCAGAGCUGGAGACUCCCAGGUGUGGUGGGAAGGUGAGGGAUGAGGAGGAAGGAAGCCUGCUUUGAUCCACUUAACCACUAGGGGUCAUCUUGCAUAUCCAGGAAUGCUUUGUUCCAUCUGCAAACAUUGAAGAAAAGUUCAGAGACCAGUAGAAACUGACAAUGAGGGUUUAAGGCAUAAAGAAGUGAGGCCUGGGUGUAUUUGUGGGCUGGUUGAGUGUUGGGAGAAGAAAAAAAGGUAAACUUGGUUAAAGGAUAGAGGUUUUCAGGGUAUUUUCCUCAUCAGGACGUGCACUAAGAUGGCUUGCUUCAGAGAGGGCAGAAGGAGCCUGUGCUUUGUGCCUCCAUCAUUGUGUGUAUACAGAGCAUGGGGGAAAUGCUGGUGAAAUAAUGCUGAGGAGAGCACAGGGACCUCCUUGCAAAAUUAAUAAGUGGAGACUGAGGACAGUCAUGGGUAAUAAGAACUUGUUAGAAAGGCAAUCAUUGUAAUGAUGUGACUGAAUGGAUUCCCGGUCACACAGAGCUUCCUGGUCAUAAUAGGUCCUAGAUGGUGACUUGAUGAUAUUCUUGUCUGUACAGUUGAGGCUUGUUUUGCUCUCCAUGGACAGGACCCAAACCUCGAGACGGUGACUUGAUGAUAUUCUUGUCUGUACAGUUGAGGCUUGUUUUGCUCUCCAUGGACAGGACCCAAACCUCGAAGUGCAGGGCUCACUGCUUAGUGAGAAAUGAAGAUGAAGUUUCCUGAAUGAGCACCCUACCUCCGCCCCCUACCCAAUGACCUAUGUAGGAGGAAUAGGCAAUAGGCACUCAGGGUUUUCAGGUCAUUUCAAUCACAUUAUUUAAAAAUAGUUAAGGUGAUGAGCUUUCUGAGGGGAAGGACAAGUUUGAGUCUGAAGUCCAAAUAAAGCACAUGGCAACCAGCAGAUGCUCUGUUAUAAUAACUGUACACCUGGAUUUUCUGAAAUAGGCCUAAUUUCAAGUCACCGUCUUAUUAUCUUUUUUGGAUGGCAAAUGUUCCAGAAAUGCCAUCAUGUGGGAAUGAUUUUAAAAUAAGUAAUAUUUAUAGAAUACCCACCUACUAUUCACCAGGUGUGCAGCCAGGGGCUGAUGACACAGAGUCUUCCGGUGUCCCUGAACUUAGAGUCAAGAGGCAUGGGCAGGCCUGGAGGCAAAGAAUUACACAUGAGUCUGAUGGAACUAGGAUAGUGGGGCGCAGCCAAUCUCUGGGAGAACAGAGGACAGUGGCCUAAUGCAGGCUGGAGGGCAAGAACCCUUUCUUGGUAAAGGAGCCUCUAAGAUGAGCCCUCCAGGGCCAGUGAAUGAUGGCCAGGUAAAGGGAGGUAAAUAGAAAGGUAGCAAGGGAAAGCCUAAGUCAGAUAUAAGAGUGUGCUUGGGGUUAUCAAAGAAGUUUUGUUUGAUUUUAGAAGCCAUUUCAACCCAAAAUAAUUUGAAAAUAAUACAUAAGUUACUAAUUUGUUUAAGUGGAUCUGCUGAUCUUUGUCAAGGAGAGGAAGUCUUGUAAGUGUCACCUUCAAAGUCUUAGUCUUACUGAACUUUCAACAUAGAGAUAAAAGAAGGAAAGGCAAGCUUGGUGGAAAUAAGAUAGACUUUGGCAACAUGACUCUUUUACAGAAUAAGAGCCCUGGUAGACAUUUAGAUUCUUUGAAAACUAGGAUUUCUGCAGGAUGUGAAAUGAAAAUAACUUGACUGCUUGUCCAUUAUACUUAACCAGUUUUCCACCCAUACAUUUUUGAGGUUCACUCGAACUUGACUGUGUCUUCACACUUCCAUGGCCUCUCCACCUUUCUAUUAUUAUCAAUCAAAAGAGUCCAAAAGCUAUAAUUUUCUUCCUUUUUUUCCCAGAUGCUGUUCACUCUUACACUCCCUUUUGGGUUUGUUCUAGCAGUGAAAGAUAGACUGUUUUUUUAUAAGUCGACCUCCUUGGGUGGUCAGCUGUCUUCUGAGUUUCUAUGUAAUACUGGAAGAUGUGAAAUUACUCAAUACAUGCAGAAUUAUAUGAGCAGCAUGAAUGAGAAUCUUUCUGGGAUAGAAAGAGAUGGUCUUUUAUUUUCCUUUGGGUUCCUUGAAGUUUCCAUUGAAAGCACUUUAAUAAGUUUAGGAGUCAGGCAAUAAAUUUACAUUUUUUAAUAAUGCUCCAUUGCAAUUCAGGCACAGGUACCACACAGUUCUUAGUCAGAGAUUAUCACUGUCCAGGAAUGUGUUUUCAAGUAUUCAUCUCCAAUACAAGAAUAAAAGAUACUGUUAUAUACCAGGCACUGUGCAUUGUAAUAGUCUUCUCCUAAAGCCAUAAUCAACUGCCUGCAAUCAAUAAGAUACACAAGCACAUCUUCUUUUAUUGCACUUCACUUUGCUAUGCUUCGCAGAUACUGUUUUUUUUUUUUUAAAUGAUGGUUUUUGGCAGCCUUGUGUUGAUCAAGUCUGUAUCAGUUAUUUUUCCAAAGCAUUUGAACCCUUCAUGUUUCUGUGUUGCAUCUAGGUAAUUCUUGUAAAAGUUUAAACUCUGUUAUUGCUAUUGUGUUUGUCAUGGUGAUUUUUGAUCAAUGAUCUUAUAUUUUACUAUUGUAAUUGAUUUGGGGUGCCAUGAAUUUCACCAUGUAACAAUGCAAAGUUAAUUGACAAAUGUUUUAUAUAUUUUCACUGCUUCACCUACUGGCUGUUCCCCCAUCUCUAUCUCCCUCUCCUGGGACUCCCCAUUCCCUGAGACAACCAUGUUGAAACUAGACCAGUUCACUCUAUUAUGGUUGCUAAGUGUUCAGGUGGAAGAAGGAAUCACACAUCUCUCACUUUAAAAAAGCUAGAAAUGAUUAAGCUUAGUGAGGAAGGCAUGUUAAAAGCUAAGAAAGGCCACAAGCUGGGCCCUUGACCCCAAAUGUUUAACCGAGUUGUGAAUAGAAAGCAAAAGUUCUUGAGGGAAAUUAAACAUGAUCACAGGACUGAUAAGAAAGCAAAAUGGUCUUAUUGCUGAUAUGGAGAGAUCUAGACAGAACAUCAAACCAGCUUCAACAUUCUCCUAAGCCAAAGCCUAGUCCAGAGCAAGGCCUAAUUCUCUUUAAUUAUCCAAAGUAUAAGAGAGGUAAGGAAGCUACUGAAUAAAAUAUUAAAGCUGGCAGAGAGGUUGGUUCAUGAAAUUUAGGGAAAGAGGUCAUCUCCAUAACAUGUAAGUGCCAGGUAAAGCAUCAAAUGCUGAAAUAGAAUCUGUAGCAAUUUAGGUAAACUAUCUAGCUAAGAUAAUUCAUGAGGGUGUCUACACCAAACAACAGAUUUUCAGUGUAGAUGAAACAACUAUCAUCAUUUCCUAAGUGAAAUAGCAAAAUACAGAAAAUUGAGUUCAACUGAUAUUUUUAUAAAUCCAACUCAGAGGCAAGAUGCCACUGCUAGCUGUUUUAUUCACUGCAAAUUGUGCAUUGUGAAUAAAUUUUACUUUUUUUGUAAAAAAAAAUCUAUUGGAAGAAGAUUUCAUCUAGGACAUUUGUAGCUAGAGAGAAGUUAAUGCCUGGCUUCAGAUCUUCAAAGGGCAGGUUGACUCUCUUGUUAGGGGUUAUGCAGCUGCUGACAUUACAUUGAAGCUGAUGCUCAUUGACCAUUAUGAAAAUCCUAUAGCCCUUAAGAAUUAUGCUCAAUCUAUUCUACAUGUGCUGUCAAAAAUGGAACCACAAAGCCUGGAUGACAGUACUUCUGUUUACAACAUAGUUUAUCAUAUUUUAAAUCCACUCUUGAGAACUGCUGCUCAGAUAAAAUAUUCCUUUCAAAAUUUGACUGUUCAUUGACAGUGCACCUGGUCACCUAGGAGCUCUGAUGAAGAUGUACAAUGAGAUUUAUGUUUUCAUGCCUGCUCAUACCACAUCCAUUCCACAGCCCAAGAGUAAAGGAGUAAUUUUGACUUUAAGUUUGAAUAUUUAAGAAAUAUAUUUUCAGGAGUUCCUGUUAUGGCUCCGCAGUAAUGAACCUGACUGAUAUCCAUGAGGACGUGUGUUCGAUCCUGGCCUCACUCAGUGGGUUAAGUAUCUGGCAUUGCCGUGAGCUGCAGUGUAGGUUGCAGAUGUGGCUUGGAUUUUGUGUUGCUGUUGCUGUGGCUGUGGUGUAGCUCUGAUUGGACCCUAGCCUGGGAACUUCCAUAUGCCACA
rnacentral:lncRNA from 1 species